UACGUAGGGUGCAAGCGUUAAUCGGAAUUACUGGGCGUAAAGCGUGCGCAGGCGGUUUUGUAAGUCUGUCGUGAAAUCCCCGGGCUCAACCUGGGAAUUGCGAUGGAGACUGCAAGGCUAGAAUCUGGCAGAGGGGGGUAGAAUUCCACGUGUAGCAGUGAAAUGCGUAGAGAUCCGGAAGAACACCGGUGGCGAAGGCGGCCUGCUGGGACAGUGCUGACGUUGAGGCGCGACAGCGUGGGGAGCAAACAGG
rnacentral:rRNA from 1 species